AUUGAACGCUGGCGGCAGGCCUAACACAUGCAAGUCGAGCGGAUGAAGGGAGCUUGCUCCUGGAUUCAGCGGCGGACGGGUGAGUAAUGCCUAGGAAUCUGCCUGGUAGUGGGGGAUAACGUCCGGAAACGGGCGCUAAUACCGCAUACGUCCUGAGGGAGAAAGUGGGGGAUCUUCGGACCUCACGCUAUCAGAUGAGCCUAGGUCGGAUUAGCUAGUUGGCGGGGUAAAGGCCUACCACGGCGACGAUCCGUAACUGGUCUGAGAGGAUGAUCAGUCACACUGGAACUGAGACACGGUCCAGACUCCUACGGGAGGCAGCAGUGGGGAAUAUUGGACAAUGGGCGAAAGCCUGAUCCAGCCAUGCCGCGUGUGUGAAGAAGGUCUUCGGAUUGUAAAGCACUUUAAGUUGGGAGGAAGGGCUGUAAGUUAAUACCUUGCUGUUUUGACGUUACCAACAGAAUAAGCACCGGCUAACUUCGUG
rnacentral:rRNA from 1 species